UACGUAGGGUGCGAGCGUUAAUCGGAAUUACUGGGCGUAAAGCGUGCGUAGGCGGCUCGUUAAGUCCGGUGUGAAACCUUGGGGCUCAACCCCAAGCCUGCACUGGAUACUGACGAGCUCGAGUCCGGGAGGGGAGAGCGGAAUUCCUAGUGUAGCGGUGAAAUGCGCAGAUAUUAGGAAGAACACCGGUGGCGAAGGCGGCUCUCUGGAACGGUACUGACGCUGAGACGCGAAAGCGUGGGGAGCGAACAGG
rnacentral:rRNA from 1 species